UACGGGGGGGGCAAGCGUUGUUCGGAAUUACUGGGCGUAAAGGGCUCGUAGGCGGCCAACUAAGUCAAACGUGAAAUCCCUCGGCUUAACCGGGGAACUGCGUCUGAUACUGGAUGGCUUGAGUUUGGGAGAGGGAUGCGGAAUUCCAGGUGUAGCGGUGAAAUGCGUAGAUAUCCGGAGGAACACCAGCGGCGAAGGCGGCAUCCUGGACUGGUACUGACGCUCAGGAGCGAAAGCGUGGGGAGCGAUCCGG
rnacentral:rRNA from 1 species